rnacentral:rRNA from 1 species
UGGGGAAUAUUGCACAAUGGAGGGAACUCUGAUGCAGCGACGCCGCGUGAACGAAGAAGGCUUUCGAGUCGUAAAGUUCUUUUAUAUGGGAAGAUAAUGACGGUACCAUAAGAAAAAGCCCCGGCUAACUACGUGCCAGCAGCCGCGGUAAUACGUAGGGGGCUAGCGUUGUCCGGAAUCACUGGGCGUAAAGGGUUCGCAGGCGGAAAUGCAAGUCAGGUGUAAAAGGCAGUAGCUUAACUACUGUAAGCAUUUGAAACUGCAUAUCUUGAGAAGAGUAGAGGUAAGUGGAAUUUUGAGUGUAGCGGUGAAAUGCGUAGAUAUUAAAAAGAAUACCGGUGGCGAAGGCGACUUACUGGGCUCAUGAUGACGCUGAGGAACGAAAGCGUGGGUAGCAAACAGG